GGGCCAAGGCGCAGGCGCAACGGAGCCGGCUGGUAACAGGCACGGUCGCUUUUAGGGCGUGGUCCCCCAGAAGGGAGGGGUCGAGGGGGAAGGGAAGACCGAGCCCGAGCAAACGCGGUGCUCGCACCCAGGAAGCCGGCUGAUUCCAGGGCACUACGUCCUGCUUGGCGCGGGCGCGGGCGCGGGCCUGGCGCAGGCGCGGCCCGGGUGGGAGGGAUCUCCUCGCAGCCGGAGACUUUUCCCCUAAGGUUGUAGGCGUCGGUUCUUCAUCCGGCGAUUGCAGCCAGGUCACGGAAGCGGGGAUUGCGACCCCAUGAACCCUCCGUGAUGCAACAGCGCUGGAAUUGCGUGGGAUUCCCGCAUCUUUGGGGGCAGGAACCGGCGCCGAGUGGUUGGAGCGGCCACCUCCGCCUCUGGGCGCGGCCCGCGCCUUGUAAUUAGGUCACUCGUAGGCGGAGGAGGGUGUACCUGCCCCGGGAGUGCCGCGCAGUGCACCUGACUCCCCCGGCACACACCUGUCCCCGGGCCUAGGUGUCUGGUCGGGCGCGAUGGCUGAACCUUGGGCUUUUCUCUGGGCCUCGGACCUCGCCUGGCUUCUACACGCCCCGCGCAGCCUCGCCCGUUGUUGCCUUCCGACUAAGGUGUGCGCCUUCCUCCCACUCCGGUUCCUCCUGGGAAUGAGAGACCCCGACCCCCAACCCCUGCCCUCCCUGGCCUACUUCCUGGAGGAAAGGCCGCAAGGAGAUGGUCGCACCCGUCCUGACCGCGACCAGGUGGUGUUCGAAUCGGCUACGAUCAGCGCUUUAAAGAACGCUCGGAUACCCUAGGAUCGGCCCUCGGUCUGGCUAUGAAUCUGUUUGGAGUUUGCGAAAUGUUUUCACAUUCCACUGUCUCUGCAUUCACAGAAAUAUUUGGCUCCUUUGAGCGCCGACUAUGUGCUAAAGCCCAUGCCCGGGAGAGAGAUCAUCCAGCCAAGGUUCCCUGCCCUGGUGGAGCUUGUAUUCUGCCAACAGUAUUGCUUAAAAACGGUCUGGGGAUAGAUAGGCAGAAGAGAGAUUAUGAUGUCUGCAGGACCUGAGAGAUAGAAGCUUUCCAAAUGACAUUUAACCUUAAAGAACAAGGCGAGAGCCGAACCUGGUCCCCUGUCUUCUAGACUCCCUACCCGGAAAGCAGGCGACCCUUCCACACGCAAGCACUCAGCGAUGUACAGGAGAAGAGUGCUCGCUGCAGCUCUCAGGGCGUUAUCCCGACCAACAGGCUGGAGAAGGCCCUGCAGGUCCAGAUCAGCCAGUGGCGGAACUGAAAAUUGUCUUAUUCAAGACAACCAGCUUGGCGAGGCCGACUGGCUUGGCCUUCCCCAGCUGGAAGUUGCAAUUUUGCCUUCCCUUCGUCCUUAUCAGUGGCGUGCCCACAAGAAAGCACCUCAGAUCUAAUCCCCAAAAGGAUUAUACCUAAUUUACCGGGCUGGGAAAAAGUUCUUUUAGCCCAAAUUCUGGCCAUGUUUUGUGGUUGACAUCCCCAAGUAAUAAAGGAGUAAGAGUUGAGAUCAUGUAGAAUGAAUGAGGAAAAAAAUCAUCACUCAGUGCGGUGACUAUAAAGCCAUGUCCAGUGUGCUUUCUUGUCUUGUUCUUCACUGUUGCCCUGUACCUGUGUGAGAACUGGUCCUGUCUCAUAGGGCAAGAAGCACUCAGACACUUAGAAGAGAGAGCGACUUGCCCAAGGUAGUGGUCAGGAUUUAAAACUUCAAACUUCCCAGUGCAAGGUGUCAGUCACAUUCACACAACUGACCUCCAAGGACUCAAAUAUGGAAGAUGGUCAAUAUAAUUUCCCUUUGCCUCAAUUCUCUUAUCUAGAAAGGUGGGGAUGAUGUUAGUUUGGUAUAUUAAAAAUAUUGAGCACUAUAUAUAAUGCCAUAUAUAUAUAUGCACCACGUAUAUAUUGCAUUAUAUAAUAUAAUGCUAAGAUUAUAAUGAGCGGGUUUUUCCAAAGUGCUGUGAGCUCCUUGUUGGUGGCAUUAAUGUAGGUAUUAUUUAUUUUCUCUUGAUGCAGAUUACUUGGCUCACCACCACUACAAAAUGGAGGGAAGAUAUAAUUAUAUAUACUUAAGCCAUCCUGCUAAAUAAUUAGAUGCCAUGACUUCUUAAGGAAUGAGUUCUAGGAAGUGCUUAUUAGCAUUCAAGCAGUGAAGUAAAGCAUACAUGAUUAUAAAUAAUACAGAACUAAAUCAGAAUGUCUUUUCCUUUAGAUGAAAUCUAAAAUGUUUCCUUACUCUCUAGAACUCAAAAUAGCCAAUGGAUCUGAAAAAUCGGUUUGAUUAAUCUGGUCUAAACUAAUUGGACCUGACUGUCUCAAUUCUAAUACUUGGAACAAAAAGUUAAAAGCAAACCAAAAGAACUGUCCUUUUAAUUUCUUGGCAAAUACCAGAGAGUGAAUACAGCAAGUAGGCUUUGAGGAAGAAUCUUUGCUCAGAUGGCAAAUUCAGUAUACAGUGAGUCUGAGUGUUGCCUAUGAUGUUCAAACAUAGCUAUAAAUAAAAAUCAUCUGAUGAUGGGGGCGGGGUAGGAGGAAGGCAACCUUGAGCAAAUAGCUUUAUAAUAGGCACUCUCGGCCAAGGUAUAAAAAUUGACAUUAAACAUGGAGAAGGAAUGAGAUGUGUCUUGUCAACAAUUCUCUUGGCCUUGUGUUGGGUUUAUUUUGUUGUUGUUGUUCCUUCUAGUUCCCUGACUUCUAAACUUACGGAGAUGGGAAGCAGAGCCAUGCAGAAAAAAAAAAAAAUCUCUGAAAUGGAAGGCAAAGUUCAUCACUCCAGAACACCAGGUCUCUCUUGAUUGGGAGUGCCCAGAAGACUAGCAGGAGCCCCCCAGAGUCUGAUGGAUCAGCACAGAGAACUCGCACCUGUCAGAGCAGAGGGGUGUGAAUUGGAGGACUUGUUGGUGAGCUCAUGUGAGGUGUUCCCUAGAGACUCCCAGAAACGCUGCGGAGGAGGGGGGCAUUUUGCAGGGAGCCAGACGGAAAAUCUGUUUAUGUUUUGUUCUUUAUUUUCCAGAGCAACCAGUUCACCAACCUUCUAGCUUGUGACUCCAGGCAAGAUUUAGAAAUCAGAUUCCCCAAAGCAAGUGAAUUUGUAAGCACAGAGGGAUCUAAGUUUAGUGCUUUGAAAUUCAUUUGCAAACAUAGAAAGAUAGGGCCAUUCUGCUCUCCUGUCUUAUGGAAAGAAACAGACUCUCUCCCACAGGAGUGUUUGUUCCCUAAGCAGUUAGAGGGAAUACCAGGCAGGGAGACCCCUUGAAUACCAGGUACUUAUGUGCUCAUCUUUAAAUUCUGAUUGUUGUGGAUGGUAAUGGAGUUGAGUCCACAAACAAAAGAAGGAACAAAGAGUGUGUGCAGAAAAGAGAAAACUGAUGGGUAAUUUAGUGCCUACAGCUUGGUGGUUGGUUCUUAGAGGAAGGACGCUAAUCAGUUUUCUCCAUCUUUGGAAGAACAAGCAAGAGGAAAUGAGGUUCUGUCAAGUAGUAACGAUUAUAAGGCCUGCAUUUCUUUUUUUUUUGAGGAAGAUUUGCCCUGAGCUAACUGCUGCCAAUCCUGCUCUUUUUGCUGA